rnacentral:rRNA from 1 species
UACGGAGGGUGCAAGCGUUAUCCGGAUUCACUGGGUUUAAGGGGUGCGUAGGUGGGUAGGGAAGUCAGUGGUGAAAUCUCCGGGCUUAACUCGGAAACUGCCGUUGAUACUCUCUAUCUUGAAUCUUGUGGAGGUGAGCGGAAUAUGUCAUGUAGCGGUGAAAUGCUUAGAUAUGACAUAGAACACCUAUUGCGAAGGCAGCUAACUACGCGAAUAUUGACGCUGAGGCACGAAAGCGUGGGGAUCAAACAGG